rnacentral:rRNA from 1 species
UUUGCAUAUCAAUAAGCGGAGGAAAAGAAAYUAMCAAGGAUUCCCUUAGUAACUGCGAGUGAAGCGGGAAAAGCUCAAAUUUAAAAUCUGGUAGUCUUUGACUAUCCGAGUUGUAAUCUAGAGAAGCGUCAUCCGUGCUGGACCGUGUACAAGUCUCCUGGAAUGGAGCGUCAUAGAGGGUGAGAAUCCCGUCUUUGACACGGACUGCCAGGACAUUGUGAUGCGCUCUCAAAGAGUCGAGUUGUUUGGGAAUGCAGCUCUAAAUGGGUGGUAAAUUCCAUCUAAAGCUAAAUAUUGGCGAGAGACCGAUAGCGAACAAGUACCGUGAGGGAAAGAUGAAAAGAACUUUGGAAAGAGAGUUAAACAGUACGUGAAAUUGUUGAAAGGGAAACGCUUGAAGUCAGUCGCAUUAGCCAGGGAUCAGCCUUGCUUUUUGCUUGGUGUAUUUUYUGGUUAAUGGGUCAGCAUCAAUUUUGACCAGUGGAAAAAGGUCAAAGGAAUGUGGCAUCUUUGGAUGUGUUAUAGCCUUUGAUCACAUACAUUGGUUGGGAUUGAGGAACUCAGCACGCCGCAAGGCCGGGNUUUCAACCACGUUCGUGCUUAGGAUGCUGGCAUAAUGGCUUUAAUCGACCCGUCUUGAA